rnacentral:rRNA from 1 species
UACAGAGGGGGCAAGCGUUGUUCGGAAUUACUGGGCGUAAAGGGCGCGUAGGCGGCCGCCUAAGUCAGACGUGAAAUCCCUCGGCUCAACCGGGGAACUGCGUCUGAUACUGGGUGGCUUGAAUCCGGGAGAGGGAUGCGGAAUUCCAGGUGUAGCGGUGAAAUGCGUAGAUAUCUGGAGGAACACCGGUGGCGAAGGCGGCAUCCUGGACCGGUACUGACGCUGAGGCGCGAAAGCCAGGGGAGCAAACGGG